rnacentral:rRNA from 1 species
GACGAACGCUGGCGGCGUGCUUAACACAUGCAAGUCGAGCGGUAAGGCCCCUUCGGGGGUACACGAGCGGCGAACGGGUGAGUAACACGUGGGUGACCUGCCCUCAGCUCUGGGAUAAGCCUGGGAAACUGGGUCUAAUACCGGAUAUGACUCCAUGACGCAUGUCGUGGGGUGGAAAGCCUUGUGCGGCUGGGGAUGGGCCCGCGGCCUAUCAGCUUGUUGGUGGGGUGAUGGCCUACCAAGGCGACGACGGGUAGCCGGCCUGAGAGGGCGACCGGCCACACUGGGACUGAGACACGGCCCAGACUCCUACGGGAGGCAGCAGUGGGGAAUCUUGCGCAAUGCGCGAAAGCGUGACGCAGCAACGCCGCGU